ACACUGAUAAACUCUCCCUUUCCCAAACUCAUCUUCAACCCCCUUGCACUGCCUGUUUAAUUCAGCGUCAUCAGAAAAUAACCCCAAAUGUCUUGCACUCCUGGCUUCUGCUGAUAGAGGAGAAAGGGCUUAAGACCCUGAAAAAAAAAAUUUAUAGGAAAAUUUCCCCAAAAGGUAAGCACAAUAAAAAGUCAAAAGGAGGUACGGGCUGAAGAAUGACUUCCUGCAAUGUGUAAUUUCAAGAAUUAGAGUUUGUCAAAGGUGUUAAAAAUAAAAUGAGUGUGAAUGUCCUACAAGGUUUAUGAGAAAGUUCAGAAGGAAAGUAAAGAAAGACUAAGCAGCAAGACUUUUAGUAUUCCUGUAUCCUGGAGAAGGCAGCACUCGAGCCACCAUCUUGGAAGUGAAGAUCAGGCCCUCAGCAGACACAAAACCUGCCAGUGCCAUGAUCUUGGAUUUUUCAACCUGCAGGACUAUUCAAUGAAAUUCCAAUGAAAAUCUCAAGUUAUUAUGUGAAUAUUGAAAAACGAACCCUAAAGUUUAUAUGGAGAGCCAAAAAAUGCAAAAGAGCCAGCACAUAUUGAAAGAGAAGAACAAAGUCAGAAGAUUGACACUACCUGACUUCAAGACUUAUGAUAAAGCUUCAGUAAUAAAGACAGUGUGGUAUGGACAAACUAAUAGAAAUACAGAUCAAUGGAACAGAACAGAGAACCCAGAAAUAGAUUCACAUAAAUAUAUUGUCAACUGACCUUUGACAAAUAAGAAAAAGCAAUACAGUAGAGCAAAAAUAGCCUUUUCACUAAACAAAUGAACAUCCACAUUCAAAAAAAAAAAAUGAAUCUAGAUGGAGACUUACAUGCUUCACAAAAAUUAACUCAAAAUGAAUAAUAAACCUAAAUGUAAAACACAAAACAAUAAAAAUCCUAGAAAUAACAUGGAAGAAAAUCUAGAUAACCGUGGGGAUGAAGAUGAGUUUUUAGAUACAGCAUCAUCGGUAUAAUCCACGAAAGAAAAAAUAGAUAAACUGGACUUCAAUGAAAUUAAAAUUUCUGUUCUGCAUAAGACAAUGUCUAGAUAACAAGAAAACAAGGCACAGACUGGGAAGGCAUAUUUGGAAAAGACACAUAUGAUAGAGGACAGUUAUCUAAAAUAUAUCAUGCACCCUUAAAGUUCAACAAUAAUCAAACAAUCUGACUGACAAAUGGGCUGAAGACCUUAAGAGACACUUUACUUAAAGAAGAUUAUACAGAUGGGAAAUAAGCAAUGACAAGAUGGUCCACAUCAUAUGUCAUCAGAAAAAUGUAAAUUAAAACCAUGAGAUACUACAGUGCAUCUGUUAAAAUGGCCCAAAUCUGGAAAACUGACAACAUCAAAUGCUCAUGAAGCUGUGGAGGAAAAAGGGCUCUUAUUCAUUGUUGCUGAAAGCAAAAUGUUACAGCUACUUUGAAAGACAGUUGGGUAGUUUCUUACAAAACUAAACAUACUCAUUAUAUGACAUAACAAUUGCACUCUUUGGUAUUUAACCAAAGGAGUUGAAAAUUUUAUCUUCAUAAAAACCUCUAUGUAGAGUUUUGUAGCAGCUUUAUUUAUAAUUGUCAAAACUUGGAAGCAACCAAAAUGUCCUUCAGUGGGCGAAUGAAAAAAAAAAGAACUGUGGGAUAUUGAGGCAAUGGAAUAUUAUUCAGUGCUAAAAAGAAAUAAGCCAUUAAGUCAUGAAAAGACACAGGUUAACUUUAAAUGCAUAUGACUAAGCAAAAGAAGACAAUACCAAAAGACUAUAUGCUGAACGAUUCCUGUAUGAUACUACAAUUAACACAAGCCAUUAUUUAUCUGUCCAAACCCAUAGAAUGUACAACAUAAGAGUGAACUGUAAUGUUGGGACCAGGUGUGACAGCUCAUGCCUCAGAAGUCGAGGGUUCAGUGUGCUGUGAUUGCACCAAUGCACUCCAGCUUAGGUGACACAGUGAGACUCUGUCUCAGAAAAAAAAAAAAAAAAAGUGUACC